AUUGAACGCUGGCGGCAUGCCUUACACAUGCAAGUCGAACGGCAGCACGGGAGCAAUCCUGGUGGCGAGUGGCGAACGGGUGAGUAAUAUACCGGAACGUGCCCAGUAGUGGGGGAUAACUGCUCGAAAGAGCAGCUAAUACCGCAUACGACCUGAGGGUGAAAGGGGGGGAUCGCAAGACCUCUCGCUAUUGGAGCGGCCGAUAUCAGAUUAGCUAGUUGGUGGGGUAAAGGCCUACCAAGGCAACGAUCUGUAGUUGGUCUGAGAGGACGACCAGCCACACUGGGACUGAGACACGGCCCAGACUCCUACGGGAGGCAGCAGUGGGGAAUUUUGGACAAUGGGCGCAAGCCUGAUCCAGCAAUGCCGCGUGCAGGAAGAAGG
rnacentral:rRNA from 1 species